UUGUGUUAGGGAUAGCAGCGGCAUCCUUUUUGGGGCUUUUUUCUAGCCCCAAAAAGAUAUAGCGGAUAGCCCGGCCCGCC
rfam:Flavobacterium sp. LM5 Flavobacterium_sp_LM5_contig1, whole genome shotgun sequence.